GUAAACAUUACUUUUUUGUAUUUAUAAAUUUUUUUCUUGAAAGAUAGGUAGUACGCUAUUCGCUUCGUUUAUUUCAUUUAGAAAUAAAUUUAGCUGAAAAUGUAAAUUAAUUAGGAUUCAAACUUGGGGCCUUGGGUAUCAACCACCGAGUCUUUUGCCACUUGCUCUAGGGACAGUCGAUUUGUAUUUAUAAAUUUGUUGAUAUGAAAAGUAAAAUUUUGAAUUCCUAGUUAGAUGUUCUAAGUGAAAAAAUUU
rnacentral:lncRNA from 1 species